ACCGACCUGCUGGCUUCUGCUUGCUCUUCCAUAUGACGGCAGAUGAUAGAAAUUGCGAAACACCUUAGGGCACAAACAUCGAUGGCGAGCCAGUUAGCCACGGUUAGCUAUGUUGCCUUUGCAUGGCCACGGACAGCAACUUGGUUCUACUGUUCUUCUGCAUUCAUGAAACAUUGCCUGG